UACAGAGGUCCCGAGCGUUGUUCGGAUUUACUGGGCGUAAAGGGUGCGUAGGUGGUUGAAACAGUCCGAUGUGAAAUUUCGAAGCCUAACUUCGACACUGCAUUGGAUACUCUUCAGCUUGAGGUAGUGCGGGGAGACUGGAAUUCUCGGUGUAGCAGUGAAAUGCGUAGAUAUCGAGAGGAACACCAGUGGCGAAGGCGAGUCUCUAGACCUAUCCUGACACUGAGGCACGAAAGCCAGGGGAGCAAACGGG
rnacentral:rRNA from 1 species